CAGCUUAACGCCCCGCGCCGCGAGUGGGAGGGAUGCUACCUACCUUGCGCCCCCCGGGAACAGAAAGGUCGCAGGAAGGACACCAGCUUGCAGUGCCCCAGAGUGGGCUCUUCUCCCCUCAGACUCCUGGUCACUGGGGAAUGGCGCGGGGCCAGAGUGCGCCUCCCGAUCAUCCACCCUCUACCUACAGGGUAAGGGAUGCCAGAACAACCCAGCCGACCUAGAGCAGCCCUGCCUGCAUAGUCAGUCCAGGCUGACAGGGUCAGAAGCUCCUGGUCCGGCCAAGUACAGAAAUCCAGGCCAACCGUGACCUCAGCUCACUACCUCUCCAGGCACUUUUACAGCUUGCCUGUCACCAGGAGCCUCUUGUUUUCCCCGAACCUGAGUUCCAGCUCUCUAAUACAGGAAGUGAUGCUGGGGAGAGCUUAGCUAACCUUCCUGCUCAUGGCUGAGCCUUGGAAGGAAGGCGCUGUGGAGACCAGGAGCAUCACGCUUGUGGACCUUGGUCAUAAGAAAAGGCCUGCAGGUGUCUGCUGGGAUAUUCUGGAAAAGCCCUUCUGGGAAGUUGAAUUUGUUUAGCAUGAACCUUUGUUUUGUGCAUGUAAAGGGAAGCAAAUCAUUAAAUUAUUAAGGGAAGAUGCCACCCAUCAAAGGGUUAACUGGUGCACAGCUAGUGCACAUAGCAAACGUGUUUCCAUGCUGGACUGUCACCUCUCCCACCAACACGGUUGGUAGAGGCAAUGUGCUCUGUAGUUAUGACACUUCUCAGACUACUAUGACUAGGUAGGUCAGAUUAUAUCCUAGGUACCGUGACAGCUCAGGUGACAGCUCGGGGUCGUUUGGAAGUAGCACUUAACUAAAGUUACAGGAGCGGACUAUGUUGAACUUUCAAACCUGUCUGAACACAGAGAAGACACUCCUAUUUCUCUGUGGAAGACCACGGGGUAAAGUACUCAAAGAACUCCCAGACUGGAAUCAUGAAGAACAUUUUCCAAGGAGCUUUGUGAGAGGAAAUAGGUCGGUACUUCGAUGUACUCCCCUGGAGUAGAGAGCACAUAGCAUCCCCCCGCCCAAGUCUGUGAGAGAAGAACCACAUCAGCCAGGGCUUGGUAUGAAGCUGGUCAGAAAGGAGUCGGACUGGCUCAAGUUCGGCCCAAUCUAUUAUAGUAUCACACAUCACCACGUCUGAUAGUCCACAGGUGGGAAUGUGGGACGUUCCAUUUCAAGUCUUCUUUGACCCAUGGGAUGCCAAGAAAAGUUAGGCUUCAUUAUCAAACACUGAGGGAUUUUCUUUUAAUUAGUAUGUAAAUGCACUCAUAAAUACGUAAGUAUAUUUAGUUACAUAUGCAAAGCGUACUUCCACUGUGCCCUAGCAGUGUAUGAUUUUAACCUUCAAAC
ensembl:lncRNA